AUACGUAGGGUGCAAGCGUUAAUCGGAAUUACUGGGCGUAAAGCGUGCGCAGGCGGUUUUGUAAGACAGAGGUGAAAUCCCCGGGCUCAACCUGGGAACUGCCUUUGUGACGGCAAGGCUAGGGUACGGCAGAGGGGGAGGGAAUUCCGCGUGUAGCAGUGAAAUGCGUAGAUAUGCGGAGGAACACCGAUGGAGUAGGCAAUCCCCCUGGCCUAUACUGACGCUCAUGCACGAAAGCGUGAGGAGCAAACAGUAUUAGAUACCCUGGUAGUCCACGCCCUAAUCAAGAUCAACUGGUUGUUGGGUCUUCAUUGACUCAGUAACGAAGCUAACGCGUGAAGUUGACCGCCUGGGGAGUACGGCCGCAAGGUUGAAACUCAAAGGAAUUGACGGGG
rnacentral:rRNA from 1 species